rnacentral:rRNA from 1 species
AGGAGUCUAACACGUGUGCGAGUCAUUGGGUCUAUACUAAACCCAAAGGCGUAUUGAACGAAAAGGCCGUCCUUAGUGUCGGCUGAGGGAGGAUGAAGUGGGCUUCGUGCUUGCUUCCGCACUCCCGGGGCAUCUCGUCCUACUUCUGCUUGUCGGUUGAAGGUGAGGUGCACCAAGAGCACACGCGUUGGUACCCGAAAGAUGGUGAACUAUGCCUGGCCAGGACGAAGUCAGGGGAAACCCUGAUGGAGGUCCGUAGCGAUUCUGACGUGCAAAUCGAUCGUCAGAGCUGGGUAUAGGGGCGAAAGACUAAUCGAACCAUCUAGUAGCUGGUUCCCUCCGAAGUUUCCCUCAGGAUAGCUGGCGCUCAUAGACUUGAGUCUCAUCCGGUAAAGCGAAUGAUUAGAGGCCUUGGGGUCGAAACGACCUCAACCUAUUCUCAAACUUUAAAUGGGUGAGAACCGCGGCUUGCUCGAGUAGUGAAGCCGCGGAAAAGAGGAUCAGAGUGCCUAGUGGGCCAUUUUU